rnacentral:lncRNA from 1 species
GAAACUAAUUUUGUGAAUUAUUUGUAUCGUUCCAAUUUUUAUUGGGUGUAUAUCCUAAACAUGAGGUGUGCAGUACAGAAAUGCAAGAGUAUAACGUUGAUAUAUAACCAUCCUAUUAAUUUCUGAUUUGCUACAAAAAAAUCUAGAUUGGUAAAAAGCCACAAACUAACAUACCCUGGAAGCACCAGACAUUUAAUAUAUCCUUUCUUCUUAAUUUACAGGAUCUAUACAAAUGGACAACAGUAGAUCCAUCAUUUGAUCAGAUAGAAAAUGAAGGAAGUGUGUGGAAACAACUACACGAAGAUGUGUUACCUCAAGGCCACUUAUCUCUGCAUAACCCAUUUUCUUCAGGGGCGAACUUUAUCAGUAAACUGAAUUUAAAGAAAGAGAUAAUUGAUUCAAAUGUGGUAAGCAAAUCAAUGCCCAUUGCUGGGUACUAAAUAAAUACAAGCAGACCAUACAGGCAAAAGUAUGAAUCUUUACAGGUAACUUUUUUCCAGAAUGGGAAGACGGCUUGGAAUAGAUCAGAAUUCAACGACUGAAAUAUUCAGAGUAGGUACUAUGACAAAUACGAUCGUCUGGCAAUUGAAUUUUUGCUUACCUUAUCUUUAGUCUCUGCCAAAUACGAGAGUUGUACCUGCAGGGGAGGAACCGGUGACAUGGAUGGGGUGUGGAAGGGCGUCGGGCCGCAUGGGGAUGCCGAGUGGCGGCGUCGCCGUCGGGCGAGCUGGCUAGUCGUGGUGGGUGCUACCGCCUGCCGGUAGAGGUAGAAGUCGGUGAAUCACAAGUGCCUGCGUGAAGAGUUGAAAGAGAUCGAGAUCCGAAUGAGGGCUAGAGGAUCGGAUCAGCGACAUCGAUACCGAACCUAGGAUUUUCGGGGAUUAUAGUUUGAUAGUCGAUACGAAAUCUUGGAGGGAGCACUGUUUGGGCUCCUUCACUGCCGGUACCUCGACGUCGCCGUUGCCGCGACCGGCGCCGCCUGACCGCGGCAUCGCAUCGGUUGCACGAAGAACAACUGAAUCAGGGAG